ACACAUGUUAGUAUUUGUUUUAUGUAUUUGAGUGCUCCUAUAUUAUGUGCAUAUAUGUUAACACAUGUAAAUCCUCUUCUUAUAUUGAUCCUUCUAUCAUUAUAUAGUGUCCUUCUUUAUCUUUCUUUAUGGCCUUUAUUUUGUUGAGGAUACAGA